GCUAUUUUAGUUUAUUUUUAGAAUGUGAAAUUUGUAAUUUUGAGGUUUUUAUAAUA
rnacentral:tRNA from 1 species